rnacentral:rRNA from 1 species
AUUGAACGCUGGCGGCAUGCCUAACACAUGCAAGUCGAACGGCAGCACGGCAGUAGCAAUACUGUGGGUGGCGAGUGGCGGACGGGUGAGGAAUACGUCGGAAUCUGCCCAGUCGUGGGGGAUAACUAGCCGAAAGGUUAGCUAAUACCGCAUACGACCGAGAGGUGAAAGCGGGGGACCGCAAGGCCUCGCGCGAUUGGAUGAGCCGACGUCGGAUUAGCUAGUUGGAGGGGUAAAGGCCCACCAAGGCGACGAUCAGUAAGGGGCGUGAGAGCGUGGCCCCCUCACACGGGUACUGAGACACGGACCUGACUCCUACGGGAGGCAGCAGUAAGGAAUAUUGGACGAUGGGCGCAAGCCUGAUCCAGCCAUCCCGCGUGCUUGAUGAAGGCCCUCUGGGUUGUAAAGAGCUUUUAGUCUGGGAAGAAACCGUUUUCUGCGGAAGACGCUGACGGUACCAGAAGAAUAAGCACCGGCUAACUCCGUGCCAGCAGCCGGA